rnacentral:rRNA from 1 species
GAUGAACGCUGGCGGCGUGCCUAAUACAUGCAAGUCGAGCGAACAGAUGAGGAGCUUGCUCCUCUGACGUUAGCGGCGGACGGGUGAGUAACACGUGGAUAACCUACCUAUAAGACUGGGAUAACUUCGGGAAACCGGAGCUAAUACCGGAUAAUAUAUUGAACCGCAUGGUUCAUUAGGGAAAGACGGUUUUGCUGUCACUUAUAGAUGAAUCCGCGCCGCAUUAGCUAGUUGGUAAGGUAACGGCUUACCAAGGCAACGAUGCGUAGCCGACCUGAGAGGGUGAUCGGCCACACUGGAACUGAGACACGGUCCAGACUCCUACGGGAGGCAGCAGUAGGGAAUCUUCCGCAAUGGGCGAAAGCCUGACGGAGCAACGCCGCGUGAGUGAUGAAGGUCUUCGGAUCGUAAAACUCUGUUAUUAGGGAAGAACAAAUGUGUAAGUAACUAUGCACGUCUUGACGGUACCUAAUCAGAAAGCCACGGCUAACUACGUG